rnacentral:misc_RNA from 1 species
GCAAACUUGGUCAUUUAGAGGAAGUAAAAGUCGUAACAAGGUUUCCGUAGGUGAACCUGCGGAAGGAUCAUUACCGAGUAAGGGUUCCUCUCACGGGCCCGACCUCCCAACCCUGUGUCUAUCACACCUUGUCGUUGCUUCGGCGGACCGGCUUGAGGACUUCUGGUCCUGGGCCGCCGGGGGUGUUUGGUCACCCCGGGAGAGCGUCCGCCGAUGGCCCAACUACAACUUCUGUGUUCCAAACCUGGUCGUCUAAAUCAAACUUGAUCAUAAUCAAAAAACACAAAACUUUCAACAACGGAUCUCUUGGUUCUGGCAUCGAUGAAGAACGCAGC